rnacentral:rRNA from 1 species
AGGAUUAACGCUGGCGGCGUGCCUAACACAUGCAAGUCGAACGAGGUAGCAAUACCUAGUGGCAGACGGGUGAGUAACGCGUGGUCAACCUACCGUUGAGUGGGGGAUAACUAGCCGAAAGGUUAGCUAAUACCGCAUACGUCUCCGAGGGGCAUCCCUUGGCGAUAAAAGGAGCAAUCCGCUCGAUGACGGGACCGCGUCCCAUUAGCUAGAUGGUGGGGUAACGGCCUACCAUGGCACCGAUGGGUAGCUGGUUUGAGAGAGCGACCAGCCACACUGGGACUGAGAAACGGCCCAGACUCCUACGGGAGGCAGCAGUGAGGAAUUUUCCGCAAUGGGCGCAAGCCUGACGGAGCGACGCCGCGUGUGGGAAGAAGGCCUUCGGGUCGUAAACCACUGUCGAAGGGACGAUAAUGACGGUACCCUUGGAGGAAGCCCCGGCUAACUACGUGCCAGCAGCCGC